CCACUCUCCUACUUACAAAAGGAAAUGCACGCCUGUCUUCAGAAGAAACGGAAACUUCUGAAAGUUCUCUGUUGUUCCUGAUAUUUAUCGUGACUCAGGCCAUCAGUUAUGGCAUUAAAUAUGGAGCUGACGAGGGAAUGGCUGUCUCAGGCGACAAAAGGAAUUAAAAACAGCCCACUGGCAACUUUAUUUAUUUUAGCAAUAUUACAGUCGAUAGCUGAGAUACUAGUGGGAUUGGAGUUUGCUUGUCCUUGCGACCCUAAAUACAACAUAAUGUUCACUUUAGUAUUUUUCAUUGUUCCACCAUUUAUAUUCUUUUUACUAGCAUUGGCAAUUAGCCCAUUCUGUAAACCAUGUAAAUCAAUCGCUGAUCGCAUAAAUGUCACCAUUGUUCCAACAGCGACAUGGCUGUUCAUAUUGUUCAUUGAUGGUCGUUAUUAUGCCUGUUUACGUACGGAUUGGUCAGGAACGUAUGAAGUUAUUCAAAGUGCUUCAUCACAGCAGUGGUGUAAACCAGCCAACUCAUCUCAGGAAUUCCUGGCCAAAACCCAGCUAUUGUAUAGUGAAUCACAGUUCAUUGGAUUCUGGACAGUACUUGGGCUGACCGCGAUUUAUUUGCUAUGUGUGUGUGCCUCCAAACGUUGCAGCUGCUGUAAAAAUGAACAAAACCCGGAAGAUCCAAGAAAUGAGGAGAAUGAGCAAAUGGAACUAAACCAACAACCUUAAAAGAAAUAAGAAAGUAUUUUGAUUAAAACAAUGUAAUUGUGUGCCUUAAGAUUAAUAAGAUGAUUAAGUAUUCAUAACCAUACUAUCCCAAAUGUUAAUUUCAGUUAUAUUUUCUAAAUGCUUUGCAAUUAUGUAUUCAUAUAAAAGUAACAUUUUUAACAGCACUAUACUUUAUGUUCAAUUGUUUUCAGAUUUCAAUGUGUUUUAAUUUUUUUGUCCAUAGUUUUUCCAUAUUGCCCUGUUAUUAUAAUCAACAGAAAGAAAUUUUACUGGACUGCCAUUUGUCAACUUCCUUAUAAACUUGUUAAUAAUCCAAAUAAUCAUUUGCAAAAGUAUGAAAAUA